rnacentral:ribozyme from 1 species
UUUCACUUUUUCUUUUUCUUUUAUAUAUGAUGUCAACCAAAGAAAAAAAAAGAAAGAAAAUUAGAAAGGAGCAGCUACCAUCCCUCUGCUGCUCUUCAGCUGUUCGUCAUCACACACAUAUAUAUAAAUGGGACUUCC